CAGCUGAUGCGUGUACUGACCUCUCCAACAGCGACUACCCGCUCUGCAGAGCUACUGGGCCACAUCCUCAGGAGCUGGUCUGUUUCACGGCAAGAGGGAACCUGUCCCAGGAUAUUUUGGGAAGCAGGUGACUAUCAGGAGGCAACUGAAAGGAAUCUGAUGUAUGAACAGCCUUUAUGACUGAUGGUGAUGGUUUGAUGAGUGAAAUCCCUGUUCUUCAGAAGGAAUUUUACAUCAAUGAACUUCUUCUCUGCACUGAAAAAUAGGGGUUUCAAAACAAAACAGUUCAAAGGGCAGGAGCAUUGAACUCUUCCUGAUGCCUCACUCAAGAGUGUAAAUCAGCACGAUGUAUCACAUAUACUAAGUUUGGGAUAUUGAAAUGUCAAGUGCAAUUCUGAAGAAGGUAUGAAGGACACCCAGUGCCUAAGGAGACUGAACCACCAUUUCCUGAGAUACCUGCAGCCAGAAAGGAUGAAUGUGAUCAUGGCAUAAAAUAAAGUUAUUCAAACCUGGCAGCGCUCUUGGAAGAAGAUAGCUGUGCAAACUUUCCAUGUUAGGCUCAACAAAGUGACAAGCAACUGCAGAAUAGUUUGGUGACAAUAGCAGUGGAGAUUUCCUGUAUAUUCAGCAUGCUUUGGAAUGCAGGAUACAUAUCCAAGGUGCUUUAAGAGUUAGCACUUAGUAACAUCCUAACAUUGUCUCCUCAUGUUAAACUGCACAGUACUGUACACAUGCCAGUUUCCAUUUUAUUGUACAGGAUCUGGUUUGUUAGGGAAUGCUCAUUAAGUUCUCUUCAGUUAGCUAUUAGGCAUGCAAUGUAGGCUUUGCCUCUGUUUUUGUGGAGUGUGUGUUUAAAGCCCAUUUCUUAAGGCCCAUGGUUAUCCCAGGCCCACUGUUUGGGUAUGAAUGGUGUGUUUAUUGCGUUCUGGAAAACUGAACAUGAAAUAGAUUUGGGGUGUGCAGCAGACUGCAAACUUAAUUCAUGUCCAAGCAAGUUGGAGCAUGCUUCUGACUGAAUCACAUAUGGACAAGCAUCAGCUGCCUUGAAGUGCCAUAACCUGGCCAAUGACAGGUCAGCCAUGGGACUCUUCAUAGGAGGUCCCAGUGUUGUGAAAUACAAAGACAGAUGGAUUUGUAGGCCGUGUGAGCUCCAUUUCUUAGCCUGUAGGGAAUGCUACAAGUGUCCUGUAUUUGACCAUGAAAAGCACUAAGACACAUCAAGGUGCAUAGUAGCCUUAGUGAGCUCCAUGGUCCAGCCCCUAAGGUGCCAUGCAGACAUAAUCAUAUUAAUGAUCUAGUCUAGUUCUUUUACCCUCUUCCACAAGCCAACCCUUCAAUAUCAAAAAGUGUUUCGAUUUAGACUCUUCUUUACAGAGAAAAGAAAGCUCUGAGAUAUGUAGAGCAAAUAAUUAUAAUAAUUACUUGACAGCAUUAUUAUUACAGUGUUCCACCUGCUCUCUUGUUCUCCGCCAUUGCAACAGCAACUCAUUUGUUCAGUCUUGACUUGAGUGAAGCACUGCAGUUUCUUUCCAGCUCCUCCAGUGAUGGAGAGAAACUGCAGUGCUGUGCAGGACCUGAAAAUGUGAGUGCAAAAAAUAUGCUUUGCAGCUCUUUGGUUGGCAGAAUGCCCCACCGUAUGACCCAGCCUGCAGAGAAUGACCUGAAACUAUGGAAAUGGGACACAGCCUUUCCCUCUGCCAUGAACAGCUGUACUGCACCUACCUCUGGCCUCAAAGAUAGCGAGGGAUUAUAGUUCUUUUGCUUAUAGCAAUGUAGCUCACAUCAUCCAUUAACUUUGUGCAUGAUAAAAAUGCUUCAUUGUGGUGAUGCAUCCUCUCUUGCAACCAGCUCACAAAAUUGGCGAGAUAAACUUGAGAGAACAAGAUGCACUGUUCUGAAAGAUGAUACAGUUUAUUUACAUGCUCUGCAGAUCAGAGAGCUUGAGAAGGCAGUUUGCCUCCAAAAUAAAAUUGUUUGGUUUUAUUCCAUGUUCCAAUUCACAAUCAUAUACUAUUUGCUCUUCAAUUAUUGUCCUCGUAGCUUCUUUAUUUUUACUGCUUUCCAUAUUUCUAAUGCUGAACUUUUCUCAUACUAUUUUUCUCCAUAUAAUUAACUUUGAAUUUUCUAAGCAAACUUUCCUUGGUUUACCUAUUUCCUUCCUGUAUUUGCAACCACCUUUUGCUCUUCUCUUUUAUCUCUGUUUUCACUACUUUUGCAACGCCUUCUAAUUUGCUUGCUAUCUUCUUCUUAACACUCCUCUCUUUCAUAUUACUAAUAAUACUGUUAAGUACGACAUUUUUAAGAGAUUGUGCUGCUUCCUUUCUUGCAUUCUCAAAGACUCUUGGCAGCAUGCAACCUGAAGAAAUCUGUUUCCCUAAAGAUCAAUGUGAAUAAAUGGUAGGACACAUUGUUUAGGGAGCAUAUUGUAGUUCUGAGGAACUGGCACCUCUCUGAUCUUUCAACAAGGACCACUCCUACCUUACACUCAGAGAGUUCACAAACUCAGGUUUUGCUAAAUUUAAGUAGAAGAUUCACGGAUUGUAGAUGUAGCUAGAGAUUUUUUAAAAAUCCAGAGAUUUUUUUAUAAAUCCACUGUGCUGAAGAAACUGUCCUCUCCAGCCACAUCAAUCUAUUAACUCUAACUUCGGCUCCUUCCAUGCAUGCUAAAAUCCUGCUCUGCAUGCCAUUCUUGUCCAAGUACAGCCAGCUGAAACAAGAUGAUGUGCUGUUUAUCUUCCUGCAAGGUAGCCAGAAAUGGUACUGUGCCCAUACUGCUUAUAAUAUUUUGGCUGUCAAUCAUCUGCUACAAGUACCUGAACAGUGAAAAACUCAGAAACAACUCCUCUCCAAUAUCCAUUACCAACAAUCUUUGCUCAAAAUGUUCAGAUGUAAUCAAGAUAGCAAGGAACCAGGGAAUUUUCUGUUAUAUCUUUCUCACCUCUACAUUAAUUUUGGUAUAACUUAAAGCUAUUUAUUCAGUUGUUUGUUUAAUGGUGAAAUUUUAGUGCUUUUUUAAGGCUUCUGUAUGGCAGGAAACUAAGCCUAGUAUUUAACCUAAUUAAUCAGCUUUUUCUGACUCUAUUCCUACUAAACACCAGAAAAAAACACAAAAGAUCAAUUUGUUUAAUAUAUGUGACAUGCUAUAUUAGUAAGCAUAUUUAAUACAGUACAUCAUGCAUCUUUUUAUUUUGUUUUGUAAAUCUUCAAGCAUCCUGUGAAGUUCAGUUACAUUUUUAAGUAUUUCUCAUAACAAUGCAGACAAGAAUCUCCCAACUCAAAAGAAUUUUAAUAUUUUUUCUUAGUGAUUACCAGUUUGACUGUUGGUUCAGUAAAGUGAAAUGGAUCCCAGCAUAGCUGUCAGGUGAAA